GAUGAACGCUAGCGGCAGGCUUAACACAUGCAAGUCGAGGGCAGCAUGAGACGGAGAUUCGUCAAAGUCUUGAUGGCGACCGGCGCAAGGGUGCGUAACGCGUGAGCAACUUGCCCGUUUCUGGGGAAUAACCGGUGGAAACGCCGACUAAUACCCCAUAGCAUCAACUUUAGGCAUCUUAGUUGAUUAAAGAAUUUCGGAAACGGAUAGGCUCGCGUGACAUUAGCUAGAUGGCGGGUAACGGCCCACCAUGGCGACGAUGUCUAGGGGUUCUGAGAGGAAGGUCCCCCACACUGGAACUGAGACACGGUCCAGACUCCUAC
rnacentral:rRNA from 1 species